rnacentral:rRNA from 1 species
CCUACGGGUGGCAGCAGUGGGAAUAUUGCACAAUGGGGGAAACCCUGAUGCAGCGACGCCGCGUGAGUGAUGAAGUAUUUCGGUAUGUAAAGCUCUAUCAGCAGGGAAGAUAAUGACGGUACCUGACUAAGAAGCUCCGGCUAAAUACGUGCCAGCAGCCGCGGUAAUACGGAUGGAGCAAGCGUUAUCCGGAUUUACUGGGUGUAAAGGGAGCGCAGACGGGAGGGCAAGUCUGAUGUGAAAGUCCGGGGCUUAACCCCGGGACUGCAUUGGAAACUGUCCGGCUAGAGUGCAGGAGAGGUAAGUGGAAUUCCUAGUGUAGGGGUGAAAUGCGUAGAUAUUAGGAGGAACACCAGUGGCGAAGGCGGCUUACUGGACUGUAACUGACGUUGAGGCUCGAAAGCGUGGGGAGCAAACAGGAUUAGAUACCCCUGUAGUC